AUGUUUAUCCAACGGUUUGGAUAUCUCUUAGUUAGUUUUUUCGUGCUUUGGUCUCUCCUGGUGACUGGAAGCCGUGCCUGCUCUACAGCCGGCAUUGUUUACAGUCGCGACCAGCUGAUCGCCCUGAGGCCCCAAACCCUCUUCGCCGGGGAGAGACCUACAGCACCGAAAGAGCUAAGGAGGAGACGGCGAGGCUGCAGAGCAGGAGUUAAACGGAGAAGGAAGAGGAGGAAGUUUAAACCCUACAUCCCGGCAGUUAUUACUGGAAACGUAAGGUACCUGGCAAAUAAGAUAGAUGAACUGGAAGCGCUCGCCAGGACGCAGCGGGAGUACAGAGAGUCCAGUAUCAUGUGUUUCACGGAAACGUGGCUACACGACCAGAUACCGGACUCAAACGCCACCAUCCCCGGCUUCCACACAGUCCGAGCCGACAGAGACACCACCGCGAGCGGCAAGAAGAAAGGAGGAGGGCUCGCUGUGCUUGUCAACAACAGGUGGUGUCACCCCGGGCACAUCUCCGUGAAAGACCGGUUCUGCAGCCCGGACAUCGAGCUCAUCGCGAUUGGACUGCGUCCAUAUUAUCUGCCACGGGAGUUUACCAGUGUCAUCGCCAUAACUGUUUACAUUCCGCCAUCUGGAAAUGCCGAUGCCGCGUGUGACGUCAUCCACACUGCGACCGCGGCACUACAGACGAAACACCCCGGAGCCUUCGUCAUCAUCACAGGUGACUUCAACCACGUCUCUCUCUCAUCCACUCUCCCAACGUUUCACCAGUUUGUCAAAUGCACAACAAGGGACAAUAAAACCAUAGAUCUGCUGUAUGCAAAUGUUAAAGAUGCAUACAGCUCCACUGCCCUCCCUCCCCUGGGAAGGUCAGACCACAACCUCGUCCUGCUCUCCCCAUUAUACAAGCCUGUGGUUCAGCAGCAACCAGUGACAGUAAGAACUGUGAGGAAAUGGUCUCCUGAGGCCAUGGAGUCACUACAGGGUGCCCUGGAAGCCACUGACUGGGAUGCACUUUACAAACCACAUGGCGAGGAUAUCGAUGGCAUCACUGAUUGCGUCUCUGAUUACAUUGGGUUCUGCAUAGACAACACCAUCCCCACUAAAGAGGUCCGCUGUUACCCAAAUAACAAACCCUGGGUUACCAGCGACCUGAAGGCCCUACUCAACGAGAAAAAGAGGGCCUUCAGCUCAGGGGACCGUGCAGAACUCAAGCGUGUUCAGAGAGAACUAAAACACAGCAUUAGGGAGAGCAAGGAAAACUACAGGAGAAAACUGGAAUCCAAACUGAAGAACAAUAACACCAGGGAUGUAUGGAGGGGGAUGAGAGAGAUCACUGGCUUCCAGAGGAAAGGAGGAGGAAUAGCUGAGGGGAACGAACAACGUGCGAACGAGUUUAACCUGUUUUUCAACAGGUUCGACUCCAGCUCCCCCAGCAGCCCCCCCGCUGCUCCCCCGAGCAACCAACUCUGGACACAUCCC
rnacentral:lncRNA from 1 species